UUCUGAGAUAACACCUGUUAAUUCAUUGACAGAAACAUCAAGGUAGUACAACUCAGAGAGCAGUCCCAAACUUUCUGGGAGUGUACCAUUUAGCUUAUUUAAGCUCAGUCCAAGAUAAGCUAAAUGCUUUAAAUUUCCAAUGGAAGCAGGGAUAGGACCUUGAAGCAAGUUAUGAUCCAAAUAAAGAUGAGUAAGAUUUUUGAGCUGGCCCAAAGAGUUUGGAAUCUCACCUUUGAUGCCAUUCCAUGAUAAAUCAAUAAAAAAGAGAGAUGUCAUAUUUCCAAAGGA
rnacentral:misc_RNA from 1 species